rnacentral:lncRNA from 1 species
UCCUAAAACUUCGGAACUACUUGUUACUAAUCACAGCUGCUUCUGAAACAGCCAAGAGCUUCACACUGUGCUACAGCAGUGAUAAUCUGUGAUAAUCUGUAAUCCGGAAAAAUCCAAAUACACCCCGUAAGGAUAUUCCUCCUUCCCCAAAGCCUGAUUUUGAAUUUCCAUCUGCAGUCAAGCAGGCACCAGCAUGCCAGGCAGCAGUGCUCCUCUCUCAUCCCUCCAUGUUCCCUAAACCAUCACCCAAAAAAAGGAGUCAAACUGUUUGAAGAUGGCUCCUGCUCCAGCAAACCCAUGAACCCCAAAGGACAUGGAGUUAUUUCCCCACCCACCGCAGGCAGCAGACCCUCUGGGGAUGGCCAUGAAGGUGACACAUCCUCCCAGUGCCCCAACACGCCUGGUCCUUCUCAGGGACCUUCCCAUGAGAGCUCCAGGACACACAUCACUGCAGCAAGCAACCUCAGAGCCGUCAGAAUGGUCAACUGCUGUUUUCAAAACAUUUUGAUGACUUCAAAAUGAUGAAAUAAUUUUAAUUAUUUCAUUAUACAACAUGCCUAACACUUGCUUUUGUUGGCGAUGGGAGAAGAGUUGGCUCCAAUUUUCGUAUACAUUCACAGUGUGUUGCUUGGAAGGUCUGGGGGGAAAGGGAAUGUAUACAUAUAUAAAUAUAUAUAUUAGUCCAAAACUCAACAUGAUACCCAGAACAGCAACCAAAGAGAUAUGAACAGCUUAAUUUAAUGAAACAAUUUCCUCCCUCUCAAAAACCCAUGUGCAACUCGGCCAGAAUAAAGCUGUCAAAAACUUACUAGAAAUAUGGGCAAUGACACCACCUACUCCACUAUUGCCCUUGCAAUAAAUUAGCUUUGUAUAUUUAGAUACAGCAAAACAGCCAAGCUACGAAAGGUAUACACUGAGAAAAAAACCAACACAUUUAAAGCUGGGGAAAGCAUCCUAGCUCUCUUUGCAACAGAGAAUGCAAAGAAUGCAUCAUCUUUGCAGAAAAUGACACCUUGGCAAUCAUAUUAUAAGAAGAUAAUUGGUUUACUUUGUAAACUUGCUAUGCUUUGCCUCCCACAGUAAAACAAAUAAAUAGUUGUUUAAAGAAACAAUCCUAUAGCCGCACUUGCUGUGUGCUAAAAACAUAAGCCAGCUCCCCCCUCUUUCAAAGCAAAGAUGAAUUAUUUGCCUCAGCUACAACCAGCCUGAGAAAACUCUUUAUAAAUGCCAUUUUACGAUAAUUACAAGCAAUUUAUUAAGACUGUGCAGAGGGGGGCAAAAACCCCAUAUUUGAGAACUAAUUCAAAGGAGUAAACCGCUCGUUCAGCGAUAGUAUGGAUUACUGAUAAAAGGGCUUUUUGCAUCAAUGCAGUUAGACAUAACUUUGUUUUAAGAAGCACAAUCCAGGCUUAAAAAAAAUAAUAUAAUGAAAUUACUAAUAUAAUAUAAUACAAUGAAUAAACAAACAAGAUGCUGGGAUUGCUUUCUAUCGACUACAGCAGUGCCUAUACAGAGCAUCCUGC